AGCCUCCUGAAUCCGUGCUGAGAUUUCGUUGGAUACCAACACGUGGGGGCGGAUCAAACUUCCAAGAUAUGAGAAGUU
rnacentral:pre_miRNA from 1 species